ACGGCCAGAUGUGAUACUGUCUGGAUUCAAACCAGGGACUGUAGUAACACGUCUUGCACUGAGAUGCAGUGCAUUAGACCACUGCGCCACUUGGGAGCUCAGGAGUAAAAGGUUAAUGAUGCGGAAUUAAAAUCACUGGCAACCAGAAUAAGUAUGUCUUCCUCUUUGUUUAGCCUUGUAUAGUUCAUUAAGUGGCAGCUUGUUAUUCUUCUUGUCCUGAGGUGGAAUGUAUACGACAGUCACAAUAACAGCUGAAAACGCCCUCUGGAGGUAGAUGGGUCGUGCUUCAACCGUGCUCGAGUCAAGAGGCAAACCCCUCCCCUCUUGAUUUCCCUGACUCCACUGUCAGGUCCGCAUUGGGACUGGAGAAUCCAUCAAAUUGGAUAGCCAUGGGGGGUAUCAAAUCCGAGAGCAUUUUUUCAGAAAAGCAGAGAAUAUUGCUGUUUCGAGAGUCCCAUUCAUAGCAAAUCCACGAUCGGAGGGCAUUCAUCUUAUUAUAAAGUGAUGAGGGAAGAGGUGGCCGGUUUUCCCUUUGCCUUAAUCUCACCAGGUUCCCCCCUUUCUUGCCUCUGUAACACCAGCGUUUCCUCUUGGGUAGCCCGAAAAUUGGAUUGGAAUUAAAGAAAGAAUCCAGGGCAGAUGAGUCAACGUCGAAGUUGAACCCGGAAUUGAAGUAAGUAACUGCCGAUCUGAUGUUCAAAAGUUCUUGUCGGUUGUAAGAAAUGAUAGCGGAUACAUUUAGUGAAAAUAAGUCAAAAUAAUUGAUGAAAGAAUCACAAAAUAGCUAAAUUGGGUUGGAGCUUGCAAAACGGCGGCCAUCCAGUAUGGGGCCAUCAAGGGCCAUCUAUUAGGCAUUUAUUCACUAAUCUUUCUUCUUUAUCAAAUAAUUGUGUUUAUUCAUUCACAACUAGGAUGCUGCUGGGCCCAGCACAGGCAGUGUGGUCCCCUGCUCUUCUGGUACCAGUGAUGUGGGAAAGGAUGCUGGGCUUAGCAGAGACAGCUCAGAGGUGGACGCACACACACACACGCACACACGUUACAUUGACAAAUGGGACACCUGCUCUUUCCAAUGUAUCAUAUGUAUCUACAGAUGUAGGAUCUUAAUUUGAUCGCCAUGUUGCGGGAGAGCUUUCCUGAAAUGCAGGAAAUGUAAAACUUGUAGUGUAUUUGAGGUUUAAAAAGACUUCUGAAGUUUGUAAUUUCCACUUUGAAAUUUCAGACUUGAUUUUACCAUACAAACAAAUCUAUCAAACCUUACAAAUAUGUCCAAUAAUUAUAAUCCACAUAAUAAUUCACAUUUCCUGUUGCUGCAGGAUAUUUGAAUCCUUCUGUAGGAAACUGGCUUAAAUGAACCUCUUAAGGAUCCACCACUUUUCGCCCCUUUUAGACAGUGUAGUUAGAUUAACAAGAAUUUAAGCUUUCUGCCAAUGUCAGAUAUGUCUAUGUUCUGGGAAAUUUCCUUGCUAAUUACAACCUCAUGCUAAUCGCAUUAGCCUAUGUUAGCUCAACUGACCCGUGGGGGACCCACCGAUCCUAUUUCUGUAUGGGUGAGGAAACAGCUUCCGAUCCUCUCCUCUUCUUCUGCCACCUACUGGGAGACUCUUGAAUUGUUAUGAAACUGACUGCAUGGAUGAGUUUUCAGAGUGCUAUGCCCCCUCCAUGUUUAUAAUUAGUUUUCACAGCUCCUUUUAGAAUCAAAAAGAUCAUUGUGAAAAUGGAAUAGUCAUGACGUGUGUGUGUCUAGUGGGGUGUUGUGUUGUAGAGAUGGAGUAUGUGUCUCGCUGUUUCACCAAGCGUGUGCACUGUGCAGCUGUAAACCAUGCUACCACUUCAGAAGCAGUGGGCCCUGUCUGGACUGUGAGAAGAUCCCCAGUAUGACCACACCACGCAGUAGAGACUUAUUAUUAGGCAACUCAGGCAAUUGUUUGGGGCCUCACAUCAUCAGUGAACUUGGCAUAGAUAAAGGUAAGGACACAUACAGUAAGUUACAGUGCAUUCGGAAAGUAUUCAGACCCCUUCACUUUUUCCACAUUUUGUUACGUUACAGCCUUAUUUUAAAAUGGAUUAUAAUAUUUUACCUUUCUUCUAACUUUGAAACAAAUAUGAUCAUAUUUAGUGACAGUACAAAAUUGGCAACAUUUCAUAUAACUAAUGACAGAGUAUUUUCUGCCCAGAUGCCAUUCAAAUGCCUGCUGACUAGUUACAACUUCAGUUUUAAGCACAAGGUGAUUUCGUCCCUCUGUGACCAAGAGAAAGUAGUCUUAUUUAAAUUCUAUGACAUUAUUUAGUAUUUUUUCAUGUUGAGAUCUCUAAAUCCAUCAGAGUAUCACAGCGAGAUGAGACUGCUUUAAUCACAAGAGUCUCCUGUUUCAUAUGCCAUAUUGUAAGCCGAGCUGCGAGGUUCACAGACAGGGGAUUUCAAACCUUUGUCUGGAUAGGCCAGAAAAUGUGACGUGUUGCUCCCUAUGCAAAUUAGGUGUCAGAUUUCAUAAACUGCAAGAACGGAAUGCGAAGCGUGACAAUCAGAACUGUCAAGGAGUGCACAGCAAUUAAUGUUGCACCCCUCACAGAGCGCUCUGUACACACAAAUGUUGGUCGGAACCGGCCUAGAACCGCUCAAAAUCCCCUAAAUAGAGGACAACGUUCUAUGUCCAUCUCUGCUGUGUUUUCCAGGGCAGCCAAAGUGUGCCUGACCCAUUCUCUGGAGAUGCGUCAGUGUAAGUUGGGGCCGGACUACCAGAACUGUGCCCAGUCCCUCAACAAUCUAGCUGCCCUACACACAGAGAGGAGGGAGUACAAGACUGCAGAGGACAUGUAUGAGAGAGCCCUGGACAUAAGGAUGAGAGCCCUGUCCCCUGACCACCCCUCCCUGGCCUACAUCCUCAAACACCUGGCCAAGCUCCACAAACACACACUAUGAGGAGGGGGACUUUGAGAAAGCAGAGGAGCUCUAAAGCCAGCCAUGGACAUCAAAGAGGUGGAGCCGUCUCAACACUCGUCAGGUGGGGUAACAUUUAUCCUGCAACGGCCCGCCCCUCUCCCACACGCCCCCAGGUGAACCCGCCCUCUACCGCCCCUCCCACGAACACAAGUGGUGGUUCUCCUUUUGUCUUUCCUUGAUCCCGUGUGUCCAUUUCCUUGUCUCCUUCUAGAAAUGCAUUGGUGGAGAAGGUCUGAAGGUAGGGACAUUGGAUCUUCUCCUCUAAUGCAUUUUGAGAAGGAGGAAAAGAGAGAGGACAUGAGGAAUCAAGGAAUUACAACUGAGGGUCACCCAGGGUUCACAAUCUGCAUUCCUAAGAAGAACAAAGUCAAUCGCACUCUCAGUGGUUUGUUAUGCUGCUUUGAGAUGGAACAGUGUAG